rnacentral:tRNA from 1 species
GGGCAGAUGGCGAAAUUGGCAGACGCGCUGGCCUUAGGAGCCAGUGAGGAAACUCAUGAGGGUUCGAGUCCCUCUCUGCCCA